CUCCGGGCCAGCCGAGAAGUUGCAACCGGUUGAGCGAAAUGUUUGCGCUUGGGGUUCGGUUUCUGCGUUUUUAUUUUUAUUUAUUUAUUUAUUUCCCUUGCACUUACCGCAGCUCAAAAAAGCAUGCCCCGAGGCUGCUCCCUGCGGUCGGGUCUGAGAGCAGGGGCGCCCCAGAGCAAAGCGCAGCAAACGCUGGCGGUGAGGGGAGGGCAGGGAUUUGGCUCGCCCCGACAGGGGCAGCUCCGGGGGGUGCUGGGCUCCUAGGGGGGCUCCCAGCCCCAAGGGGCUCCGGGGGAAGCGCUGCAGGGAGAAGUGAAGGGGAGCCAGGGGUGCGGGACCCCCCCCAGCUCUGCCCCGGACCCCGGGGGUCGCGGAGCCCGUGGGCAGCGGGAGACCCGGCCCCUCCGGGGCAUUUUUGGGAAGAAUUAGAUGGUUUCUCCGCCCCUUCCCCUGGAGCACAGAGCGACGUGUCAGCCCCACAGGGUGCCGGAGAGGGCCGGCGGCGUGGACGGGCCGGGGAGACGUGGCACCGAGGCAUCUUCCACAGCCACUUCUCUGAACUGACAUCUUCAAAAUGAAGAGCAAGAAUGAAGUUAUCCCAGCUCCACUGAGAUUACCGAGGUUUUAUUUUUUCUACAUAAGGAGAUUUGGAGUUCAUAUAAGAGACCGUGCUAGAUUAAAGAAACUGAAAUUAAGUUAACCUUGUAAGUCCAUCAUUGUGCUUUAAAUACUACCAGAAGACACAAAAAGGAGACCGAGAUUAUAAUGUGUACGCACCUUGAAGUACCUCAUCUCUAAUGGACUUCCUCUAUUCAGAGCAGAAAGUGGGGGCCUGUGAAGGG
rnacentral:lncRNA from 1 species